GUUUGAACUCAGCGGGGAGCUGAUGUUCCAGUUUGAGGGCUGUGCAGCUGGAGACCCGGCAGGGAGCUGAUGUUCCGGUUGUAGGGCUGUGCAGCCGGAGACCCAGGGGGAAGCUGAUGUUCCAGUUGUAGGGCCGUGCUACUGGAGACCCAGGGGUGGAGCUGAUGUUCCAGUUUGAGGGCCAUGCAGUUGAUGACCCGGCGGGGAGCUGAUGUUCAAGUUUGAGGUCUGUGCAGCUGGAGACCCGCGGGGGAGCUGAUGUUCCAGUUUGAUGGCCAUGCAGCUGGAGGCUCUGAUGGGAGCUGAUGUUGCAAUUUGAGGGCCAUGCAGCUGUAUGCCCGGGGGGAACUGAUGUUGCAGUUUGAGGGCCGUGCAUCGGGAGACCCGGUGGGGAGCCAGUGUUGCAGGUUGAGGGCCGUGCAGCUGGAGACCCUGUGGGGAGCUGAUGUUCUUGUUUGAGAGCCGUGCAGCUGGAGACCCUGUGGGGAGCUGAUGUUCCUGUUUGAGAGCUGUGCAGCUGGAGAUCUGGUGGGGAGCUGAUGUUCCAGUAUGAGGGCCGUGCGGCUGGAGACCUGGUGGGGAGCUGAUGUUCCAGUUUGAGGGCCGUGCACCUGGAGACCCGGCAGGGAGCUGAUGUUCCAGUUUGAGGGCUGUGCAGCUGGAUACCGGGGGUGGAGCUGAUGUUCCAGUUUGAGGGCCAUGCAUCUGGAGACCCAGUUGGUAGCCAGUGUUGCAGGUUGAGGGCUGUGGAGUUGGAGACCCGGGUUGGGGGGAGCUGAUGUUCCAGGUUGAGGGCCAUGCUGCUGGAGACCCAGCGGGGAGCUGAUGUUGCAGUUUGAGGCGGUGCAGCUGGACAUGCAGGGGGGAAGUGAUGUUGCAAUUUGAGGGCUGUGCAGCUGGAGACCCUGUGGGGAGCUGAUGUUCCUGUUUGAGGGUCUCGGAGCUGAUGUUCCAGUUUAAGGCCAUGCAGCUGGAGACCCGGUGGGGAGCUGAUGUUCCAGUUUGAGGGCCAUGCAUCUGGAGACCCGGUGGGGAGCUGAUGUUGCAGGUUGAGGGCCAUUCAUCUGGAGACCCAGUGGGGAGCUGAUGUUGCAGGUUGAGGGCUGUGCACCUGGAGCCCCGGGGUGGAGCUGAUAUUCCAGUUUGAGGGCCGUGCAGCUGGCAAUCUGGUGGGGAGCUGAUGUUCCAGUUUGAGGGCCAUGCAGCUGGAGACCGGGCAGGGAGCUCAUGUUCCAGUUUGCAGGCAGUGCAGCUGGAGACCCGGCGGGGAGCUGAUGUUCCAGUUUGAGGUCCGUGCAGCUGGAGAUCUGGUGGGGAGCUGAUGUUCCAGUUUGAGGGCCCUGCAGCUGGAGACCCGUGGGGAUCUGAUGUUCCAGUUUGAGGGUGGUGCUGCUGGCGACCCAGGCGGGAGCUGAUGUUCUAGUUUUAGGGCCCUACAGCUGGAGACCCGGGGAGGAGCUGACAUUCCCUUUCGAGGGCUGUGCAGGUGGAGACCUGGGGAGGAACUGAUGUUGUUCUAAUUUGAGUGUGGUGCAGCUGGAGAUCCAGGGAUGAGAUGGCCCUGCGGUUCAAAUAUGAGGGUCCCGGAGCUGGACUCUACGUGAGGAACCAAUGCUGCCUCUGAUGUCUUAGGUUGUGGAGCUGGAAACUCGCGGAGGAGCUGGUAUUGGUGUUUCUAGUUGAGGGUCGUGGUAUUUCCAGGGUUUCACAGAGGCC
rnacentral:lncRNA from 10 species